UGGGUGGUUCAGUGGUGGAAUCCUCGCCUGCCACGCGGGAGGCCCGGGUUCGAUUCCCGGCCAAUGCA
rnacentral:tRNA from 1 species